GGAACCCUCCCAUGGAUGGCACCUGAGCUACUGAAUGGUAGCAGCAAUAAGGUCUCUGAGAAGGUUGAUGUGUUCUCUUUCGGUAUUGUCUUGUGGGAGAUUCUCACAGGAGAGGAACCAUAUGCGAACAUGCAUUAUGGGGCUAUCAUAGGGGGUAUUGUGAACAACACAUUGAGACCAACCAUUCCAAGUUACUGUGAUUCUGAAUGGAGAAGGUUGAUGGAACAUUGCUGGGCGCCAAAUCCUGCAGAUAGGCCAUCCUUCACCGAAGUUGCUGGCCGCCUGCGCGUUAUGUCAACAGCUGCUGCUAGCCAAACAAAAGCACAAGGUCCCAAAAUACCAAGGUCAUAAUUAUUCAAAUGGAUUGUUGAGUUAUUCACAUGCUUUCUUAUUAUAUAUUUGUUCAUUCUAUUCUACAGUCUUGAAAAUUGUGUGUAUUUUUGUCAAUAGAAGGUAG
rnacentral:misc_RNA from 1 species